ACCAUCAGCAAGGAUCUCCUAACAGCUGAAGUUCUGAAAAUGAAAAGCACUCUGUUCACCAUUGUCAUUGCACUGCUGUGCAUGGCACAGGAAAUCAAAGCAAGUCAAGCAGUACACACUCCUAAAGAAUGCUGCUUUAAGUUCAUAACCAAACCACUACCGAUAAGAACAAUUGAACGUUUUGAAGUAACAAGUGACCAAUGUCCUAUAGCUGGAGUGAUAUUUCACACUAA